CACUGUCUUCUGUCGAAACCGAAACGAGAAUCUCAAAGGCCCCGCCUAUAAAUCCUGUAAAUAUAAUUUACUCGGGCUUUCGCGAUGAUGCUUUUAUAAAAUAGGCAUAAAUAGGUAAAGAUUUUUUAAAAAGAAUCCGUUUAAUUUUUGAUAUUGUGUUAGUAGAUCUAUUGAAUGUAUCAAAAAACGAUUAUCGAUUUACCAACCGCAGUGGUAUCGUAGUAAACGUGAGUUUAUCUGUGAAGCAGCAGAGUGGUGGAACCAUGGAGACCAUUAAACUAAUAUGUGUUUUGGCGGUGUUGUCGCAAACCGCAGCUUUGUUGACGUCACCGCCGCGGAUCGUCAAGCAGCCGACGGUGGAGGAGCUGCUGUUCCAAGUGGCGCAGCCCGGAGAGGUGGACAAGCCUUUCAUCAUCGAGUGUGAGGCUGAAGGAGAACCGGCGCCCAAGUACCGGUGGAUCAAGAACGGGAAGCCUUUCGAGUACACCAGCUACGACAAUCGGAUCUCACAGCAACCUGGGCGGGGUACCCUGGUUGUCAGCCAACCGAGGAACGAGGAUCUCGGCCAGUACCAAUGCUUCGCUUACAACGAAUGGGGUACCGCCACUUCAAACUCCGUCUUUGUGAGGAAAGCGGAACUGAACUCUUUCAAGGAAACCGAUGGCCCUCAACAGACGGUUACCGCUCAAGAAGGUUUACCGUUCAAGCUCACUUGCGAACCCCCCGACGGUCACCCAAGUCCGAAUGUCUACUGGAUGUUGCAAGGCGAACAGGGGCAGCUGAAAACUAUCAACAAUUCCCGCAUGACUUUGGACCCUGAGGGAAACUUGUGGUUCUCGAACGUAACUCGCUUCGAUGCUAGUGUCGAUUACGCGUACACUUGUGCGGCCAAGUCGGUGUUCAGGAACGAGUACAAACUCGGCAAUAAAGUUUAUUUGCAAGUGCAACACACGGGCGUGUCGCCCACGCAGAACAAACACGAACCAGUCCGGCAGUACACUACUCGGAGGGUGGAGAAGGCAUGGCGUGGAAAGAAAGUUGAACUCUACUGUAUUUAUGGCGGAACGCCGCUCCCUCAAGUGGUAUGGAAGAAGGAUGGACGGACGAUGCUGUCGUCGCAGCGGCUGACGCAGGACAACUACGGCAAGACGCUGGUCAUCAAGCGCGCCGGCUACGAGGACCAGGGCACCUACACGUGCGAGGUCAGCAACGGCGUGGGCACCGCGCAGACCUACUCCAUAGAGCUCAACGUUGAGGCCGCGCCGUUCUUCACCGAGGAGCCGCAGUUCCAGAACCUGGCCGAGGGCGAGACGGCCACCAUCCACUGCAAGGCGGGCGGCACCCCCGAGCCCAUGAUCUCGUGGGUGCACAACGGCAAGCCCAUCGAGCAGGCCGAGCACAACCCGCGCCGCGUGGUGGCCGCCAACUCCAUCACCAUCACCGACCUGGUGAAGAAGGACACCGGCAACUACGGCUGUAACGCCACCAACUCCAACGGCUUCGUCUACAAGGAUGUCUACAUCAAUGUGCAAUCAAUACCGCCAGAGAUCAAGGAAGGUCCAGACAACUUGACGAAAGUGGACGGCAGCGAGGCGGUGCUCAAGUGCAGAGUGUUCGGCGCGCCCAAGCCCAUCGUCAAGUGGAUGAGGGACGACGUCGACGUCACGGGCGGCAAGUACAACAUAACGACGGACGGCGACCUGGUGAUCCGCGACGUGUCGUACACCGACGUGGGCACCUACCAGUGCUACGCCAAGAACAAGUUCGGGGAGAAGUCAGCCUUCGGAUCACUCACCGUCAAGAAACGCACGGUGAUCACCGACAAGCCGGAACACUACGAGGUGGCCGCGGGCUCGUCGGCGACAUUCCGCUGCAACGCCAACGCGGACGAUUCGCUCAAGCUGGAGAUCAUCUGGCUCAACGACGGCCAGCCCAUCGACUUCGACAACCAGCCGCGCUUCCGCAUGACCAACGACUACUCGCUGCUCAUCUCCGACACCACCGAGCUGGACUCGGGCGAGUACACGUGCAUCGCGCGCACCGCCAUCGACGAGGCCAGGGCGCAGGCCACGCUCACUGUGCAAGACAAACCGAACCCACCCGCGCUCGAGGGCAUCGAGUGUCACGAGAGGAUGGCGACCCUGCGCUGGCAUUCCAUGGGAGACAACCGAGCUCCCAUCCUGCGCUUCUCCAUCCAGUACAACACCACCUUCACCCCCGACACCUGGGACCUGGCCGCGGAGUCCGUGCCCGCCAUUGACACCUCCUGGGCGCUGGAGCUCACCCCCUGGGCCAACUACACCUUCAGGGUCAUAGCGUGGAACAAGAUCGGCGCCUCCACCCCGUCGAGCCAUUCCGACAUGUGCACCACCCAACCGGACGUUCCGUACAAGAACCCGGACAAUGUUGAGGGCAAGGGACGCGAUCCAACCAACAUGGUUAUUUCUUGGACGAAAAUGGCUCAAAUCGAGCACAACGGCCCCGGCUUCUACUACUUCGUGUCGUGGCGGCGCAACAUCUCGGGCGCGGCGUGGAGCGACCAGCAGGUGCGCGACUGGCGCCAGACCGAGUUCGUGGUGCUCAGCACGCCCACCUUCCAGCCCUACCGGAUCAAGGUUAUCGCCGUCAAUGCGAAGGGAACUUCCAACGUCGCACCGGUCGAGGUGAUUGGAUGGUCCGGGGAAGACACGCCUACGCAAGCACCCUCCAACUUCACUCUCGUGCAAGUGACCACCGGCACCACCGCUCUGCUCAGCUGGAACCCGGUAUCCCCUGAAUCCGUCCGGGGACACUUCAAGGGCUACAAAAUCCAGACGUGGGUCGACGGGGAAGAAGACAGGCCCAAAGAGAUCCUCAUCAAAGCGGACGCCUCCAGCGCUUUGGUAUCCAAGUUCAAGCCGUUCAGAAAGAACAACGCGAGGAUUCUGGUCUACAACGGAAGGUACAACGGACCGCCAAGCGAGACCCUGAGCUUCGUCACUCCCGAAGGCAAACCGGGUACCGUGCGGUCCUUCGAAGCGUACCCCAUAGGAUCGUCCGCCAUGCUGUUGCGUUGGGACAAACCCAUGAACGAAAACGGCAUUUUAACCGGCUACAAGAUUUACUACCAGAAGGUGACAGGCACUAACAUUGGGCCGUUACAAGAGAGGAAGAAGGAGAUUGAUCCAAAAUUCGACCGCGCAAAGCUGGCGGGACUGGAGCCCAACACGAAGUACAGGAUCGAGAUUCGCGCAAAGACGAAAGCCGGUGAAGGAGACAAGUAUUACGUGGAGCAGACCACCAAAGCGAUGGUCAACGCCGUUCCUGACGUGCCACUGUUUGAAACUAGUACGUUACCCGCCAAGGAAGGGACUGCUCAUAUUUUGGUCAGAUGGAUCCCGUCUUUGGACGGCCACGCGGGGUCACAUUUCGUGGCGUGGUACCGACUGAAGGGGCACCCGGACUGGCUGCAGAGCAACGAAGUGACGGAGGACGACUACGUGAUCCUGACGGGGCUGGAGCCGGGGCAGGAGUACGAGGUGAAGGUGACCGCGCACGACGGCGAGUACUUCAGCAACAGCGAAGUCCGGCUCGUCGAUACUACUAUUGACGGGCCGCACGUGCGGCCGCGCGAGCAGAGCACGGCGACGGCGGGCUGGUUCAUCGGCGUGAUGGUGGCGCUGGCCUUCCUGCUGCUGGUGCUGGUGCUGGUGUGCGUGGCGCGCCGCAACCGUGGCGGCAAGUACGACGUGCACGACCGCGAGCUGGCGCACGGCCGCGCCGACUGCCCCGACGCCGCCUUCCACGAGUACACGCACCCACUUGACAACAAGUCCCGCCACUCCAUGAGCAGCGGCACCAAGCCGGGGCCCGAGAGCGACACCGACUCCAUGGCGGAGUACGGCGAAGGCGAAACUGCGGGCAUGAACGAGGACGGCUCGUUCAUCGGGCAGUACGGGCGCAAGCGGCGGCCCCCGGCCUCCGGUCAGCAGGACUCGGCCUCGCAGGCCUUCGCCACGCUCGUCUAGAGCCCCUCCCGCGCAUACCCAUGCCCCGUACCCUUCACCAUCCCUUAUAUGCUGCUUUGAUUGUGCUCAUAAUACUUUAUACUUGUUGCCACAUUAUUGUUUCAUAAACAUAUAUUUACGUGUUGGUAAAUUAAAGUAUUUUUUCAUCCCACUAAUUUGAAAAGCUUUGUUUUUCGAAAAAUGCGAACAAAAUUCUAUUUUAUUUCGCUACCUUGAAAAGUAAUUGCAUAUUCAAACAUGACGAAAUACACUACUAAAUCCUUCAAUAAGAUCUACUAUUUGGCAAUGUUAUCUAUUUAAUUGAUUUUAUUUGAAUGGCGAUAUUUGAUAUUGUUAGCUUGACGAUAUUUAUUAAAAUAAUGUGGUAAUUGUGUAAAAGUUAGAAAUGUUUGGCAACUUUUAAAAUUUAUUCAGCUUUAUUUUAACAAAAGGAUAGUUAAAAAUGGCCGCUUAUACCCGUCAUGCGCGCUCAGCUUUAUACGUUUUUUUAAGCUCGACGUGACCGCAGUGCCAUUGCAACACAAAAAAAAAAUGUAUUGACCCAAUCGCCGCAGAAAAAAACAUUCUACGUUCUGAUUGGUCCGUAAAAUAUUCUACGUUCCGAUUGGUUUGUGAAACAUUCUACGUUCCGAUUGGUCCGUGUAACAUUCUACGUUCCGAUUGGUCCGUAAGUGAAGUCGUCCGACAAAAUUUGUUUUUUUUUUUAUAUUAUUCGAUCUGGUUGUGUUUGAAUCUCGUUAAUUCUCGCUAAUUUUAUUAUUGACGACGAGGGCGUUAUAGUCUUUAUUUUACUAUUUCAAAAAUAGUUGUAAUAAAGGCCGUUUCACACGUCCCGAGUAUGGAAAGGCGUACUUUUAUACUUAGCGUCGACUCUCAUUGGCGGCGCAGUGACGAUGAAUUAUGAUAAUUCAUAAUAAACGACUUUAUUCGGUUAUGAAUAAGAUGCAUAUUUCUGCAACUAAUUUAGUUUGUUUCUGCUAUACAUGCGUCUUUCUUAGAUCUUUAUAUAUUGCCUCGCCGGCAAUGUCUGUCGACUUUAAAACAUUUAGGUUAGUUCUUAAGUACACAUUAGGUAUUAAGUUGUUUAGGUUGUAAAAAAAAGAUAUUUUAUGCAGUUUGAAGUGCAGUGAAUGUUUCUAUUAUUCUUAUGAUAAUAAUAUAGUCUAUUCGAUAUAUUAUACAAUAUGAGCACGAGUUUUUGUUUUGUGUUUUGCAUUUAUACAUAAUUAUUGUUUAGAGUAGCAUAGAUAGACAUGUACCCAUAUAUCCGUCCCGCUCUUUACAUCCUUUUGUUUUUUGCCUGCACGAGCCGCUAUAUUUUGUUUUUCUGUAAGGUCGCUUCACAGAGGACGGCUCGUUCAUCGGGCAGUACGUGCCGGGCGCGCGCGUGCUGCCGCCGCCGCCCGCGCCGCCCGCGCCCGCCACGCCGCUCGCCGGCCUGGCGCAGCCGCCCACCUACGUGUAGACGACACGCCGCAGCUAGUGACACAUCGACCACUGGACACGGAUGUAUUCUACACUCAGACCAAUUAUGGAAGGACCUGUAUCGCACUCAUAGUCACGAACAAAAUUGUCUGUCAUUUUCUAAAGAAAACGAGCUUAGAUUUGGUAUAUGUCUUAUACUAAACUAGAAGUAUCUUUACGGAGCUCUCUAAUCGACGAACACGAUUACAACUAUUUAACAUCGACACUAUAGAGACAGUUUCUAUAAUAGCAUUAGAUCGUUGAUCAUAAACUUUGACAGAAAAGUAACGUCUAGCGAGACAGGUCCUAUACAAUAAUUGGUCUGAGAUUCUAUAAGACUUCGCCAAAUAUGAAAAAAAAAAUCAAACUAUUUGAUCGUCGGUGACUUUUAAUUCAACAUACACUACUGGCUUCGACGCUUCGAUGCAGUUCCGGAUUAUGAAAAUUUAAUGCCCUAAACAAUCUUUCCCUAUAGGCCUUUGUAUCCAUAAGCGAAGUACAAAGUUUUAAUUUAAGAAAAAAUAAUCUGAUUUUGUAUUUGCCUAAUCUUUCGUGUACUGAUUUUUUUCUCGGUCUAUUUAAGCAAUUACUCAUGGCAUCUCGUUUGGGGUCUAAACGAGAUGUCAUAAAUAAUUGCUUGAAUAGCUUAUGGGCUAAUCUAGGACUGCUUCGAUGAAGUCCUGCGGGCCUAUUAAGUGUCUCAGUGUACAAUUCAAAAUCAUUUUCCAAAAUCUUGAUGAAAAAUGGUUUUGAUAAAGAACAAAGUGAUCAGUGGUCGAUUUCAAAUGUAUCACUAAAGGUGGAAAUUGUUUUAAUUCAAUACUGAAUCUCAGAUAUGAAUAAACACGAGUGCACUUUGAAUCUCGAUAUUGCAAACGUGUGUCUCUAUCUACGUUUAUAAAAUAGUGACUGAGCUGAAUGUAAAUUACAUAAAUAUAUUGAAAUGGUAAAACGGUUAAAUUAAAUUAUCCCAGAACAAGCCCUUAGUCAUGAGCUUUUGUUCGUACUACGCGGUGUAACACAAACUAAUUUCGAAAUUUACGAAAUAAAUUAUUCAAUAAACGACAUAUGUAGUUCAAAAUCUGACUAAUCUGGCGCUACUUACGCAGAAUCUGCUUCAUUUAAAAUUACAAUUAAAUAUAAUAAUUUGACAGUUUUUAACAUUAUGGUUCACUAUUUUUUAAACGUGGAUAUACUGAAUAUCUAUAAAAAUAUUACUGCCAUUAAUUUCAUCGUAAUAUUAAAUAUAAAUUCAUAAACAAGAUUAUCAUCUCAGUGAGUUUAGUUUAAAUAUAUUAGUUGAAACGGAGCCGCCAGUGUAAAGAUAUGAUUUCUUAUCAUUUUGAGUAUCAGUAACGGCUAAAUGGCUAGAUUGAAGUAAAAAUACAUUAUUGUUUGAUACAUUUAUACAUGAAAACGUUAGAUGCCCAUACGAAAUACAUGAAGUUAACUAGGCACUUGAUGAUUUAUAAUUUUCUUUUUGAAAAUACUUUGUUAUGUUAGUCAUACUAAAUAUUUUUAAAAGAAAAUUAACAAUAAGCAGACCCCGUCAUCCUUUUUACAGUUAUCUUGUUUGCAUUUUGAGGAAAUUCUAUGAAAAUUUAACUUUCAUAAGGUUUAUAUAACCCAAAGUGUCUAGUUAAUUUGUUCGGGUCAAUGGAUUUGUUUGAUUACGAGACUGAUUUUAAGUAAAAUAAUGAAAUAUUCCUCAUAGCCUGGCACUACGUUUUUGAAUAUUUAAAUCUUAUGAUACAUCAAACCGCACCUAGUUACUGUACCCCUGAAAUUCACCUUAUAAUUUUUAUUUCUAACAUCUUGCGAAAGGGGUUGAAUAAAUACUCUAAGAGUGGCUGUCUAAAUUUGCUAUCCAGUUAGACACGUUGUAUGUGUGGUUUAAAAAUUUCAAUUAUGUUUCUAAGCUUAGAACAUAUGGUAAACAUUUAUAAAAGUUAUGGAACUAUUGUAAUGAUAACGAAAAUUAUUUAGAACGCACAACAGACAGUUGAAUUUCAUGAAUUUCGUGAAAAAUUAUAAAUUUCGUUUGUGGACCAUGUGUUCUUGACUUACAAAUGGAGGUGGUAUGCAUAUAUAGGAUGUUCAGCAACGAGCAUUAUAAUACAGAAUUAAAGUAACAGUAAUACAUGGCUUUUUUAAUUACAGAAUCAUAUGUUUAUUGAAAGAAACUUGUACUAUUUUGGUAAAACUAUGUCUGCUAUUUAUUGCACAUCCUGUAUAUGUAGCUAGCGAGGGCUCGCUUAGAACGUAGGAGACGGAUUUCGGCUCGAUAUCAAUUACUUGUAAUAAUAAGGAUACGGUUAAGAUCGCGAAGUCUUGGUGUAUAAGAAAUGCUAUUUUUGUCACAGAAAAAAUAAAGAGAGAAUUAAGUUAUUGGGAGCUCGUAGCCUAAGAGACCAAAUGGGGAACUCAGGCACUUGAGGGUAACAUUUGAGAAAACAAUAGAUAUAAUCUGUUAAUUUGUACAAUUACAUGAUAUAAGUAAAUCGUGAUAAUUUCAUAUGAGGCUUGUCUCCUUCAGUAAAUACCGUUUGGGCUCUUACACUAUGAAGUGAAGAUUGCUCUUAAUACCGGUGGUCAGACGCGUUUAAUUUCUAGAAUACUCUACUCUUUCUUGUAUAGAAUGUAAAAUGCAGCUCAAAGUGGCGUUGAUAUUAGGCCAAUAGUUUUAUCACAGAAGAUAUUCAAAUCGAUAUUUACUAUUUCAUAUUACCUACAAUAAAUAAUAAUAAUAAUUCAAGGCCUGAUACACAUGUCUGUAUAGCAUGCCAGUGUCGUUUGUAGUUUACACACAUUACAAUAAAAAAAAUGAAAAAAAAAAUUAAUCUUUAACAUUUUGCUAAUAUGUAUGUACAAAAUGCACAGUACAUAAAACAGAUCAAACAUGGCUACCAUUACUCUUUUUCUGACACAUUCUGGAUCCGUGCAUUUUGAGUAGGACCCGCAAUCUGAAUCUCAUUUUUUUUUAUUACUGGCAUACAGAGCAUAUCUGUAUGUAUAUUAUGUUUAUGAUAAUUGACUUCAAGUGCAUCCAUAAUACUGAAGUAAUAUAACUUAAAAUUGGGCUCUUAACCAUGAGCUUGUUCAUGACCAAACUGAUCAGUUUGGGUUGUUGUACUGUCAGUGACUGGCAUGCCAUACACGUGCGUGUCACGGUCCUUAUAACAUGACCUGGCACUAUUCUACCGUUUAUUUUUAUACAUCAAAUGCAUAUCUUUCUACGACUAACAAAUUCUUUAGGACCACGAAGAGUAAUUCUAUUUUUAAGACUAUUUAAGAUUUAAAUUAAAAUAAAAAAAAAUUAACAACUAUUCUUCUAUGUAGGCAAAAGUAAAUAACUAUUUUUAUUUAUAGAAUUACUUAUUAGCAUUAUCAAUUUUUCUCUUUAGCUCUUAUUAACAUCUAGUAUUCAGUUUUAGCAUCUAUAUAAUAUUUUAAAAUGAUGUCAUUCGUAUUAAUAGCACACAAUUUUUCGAGUAUUUUUCCAAAGAGAUUUAAUGUUUCAUAUAAAUAAAGUCUGAUUUACAUUGAGACAGAUAAUGACUUCACGCUCUUAAUAAAGCUGACUUUUAUAGAGUGGUAUUGACUUAAAUACAGUGCAUAUUUAUCUUAUGCUGUUUCUAUAUAAACUAUUCAAUAGGCGUUACUUUGCGGAAGACCACUAGGAACAGUGAAUAAUUGUUAAGUUUUUAUUGAAUUGAACAUCACCACAACAAGUCAACAAUAAGUGUAUAUAAGGGAUUUAUGUCAAUUUACCUCCGAAAGAUAACUAAAUAAAUAAGUUAUACAUUGUUCAAUACUACUCAUAACUUAGGUACAUUUAUUUAUAUUAGGUUGAGUAUCAUUGACUUUCCCUAUGUGAAUCAGGCUUAACAAGGUGAUAAUGCUUGGAUUUUACGCGUUAAUUAAUAUCAAUUACUGCAUAUUGAAUCUAUUUUCGUAUGGGCGGUGGAGUAUUUGAGUAUUUUUAUAUGUGCGCGCGCGAUUUGGCCACCGGGCGAUGUUGGUGCUUUGCGGACGUGGUCGAGAGCGAUUUGUAUUCGAUGUUGUGGUCGUGACUACGUAGAGUUAGUGCUGUUUGUUUGUCUGUCUGUUCACCGGUGAUGCUAUCUGCUCAGCUUUUGUAAGGUACACUAUCCUGAUAUAAUACUUUCUCCUUGAAAUCGUAGGCAUUUGAUCAAAUUAUGGUCAAAAGCUUCCAAUACAGAAACAAGAAAUCUCUUGUAUAAUAAAUUGAUGUAACUUAAAUGUUUGUUGUAGGACAUACCACUAAAUACAAGAGAAGAUUUUGUAAUCUAAUUCUGUAAAUCUAAUCUUAAAUAUGCAUUUCCUCAACCAGAAAUUAGUAUAUUAGGCCAUGUGUACGCAAACACCGGUUAUUUGUUAAGUGUUGGAUGGAACUGAGAAAGCCGCCUUUGUAUAUGGCAUUAAUGUAUUAAUGAUAUUAUCAGAAAAUCUCUAACUACCUUCGAAUAUUAUCGAUUCACAGCUAACUGUGUCUGUACGUAGCUAGCUAAGACUUGACGUUUAAUUUUAUGUGUCGUUGACGAGGUUUAUGGUGGUGACAAACUUUUAAACCGCACCGUAAUGCGAUACUGGGAGGCGUUAAGAGUAUGUUACCACUCUAAUGGUGCCCAUUUUGACGUCAGCAUAGCGACAUAGCACAAGGUUUAGUGACAUUAUGGUGUUAUUUAAAAAUAGAAUGAAACUUUUACUUGAACGGCGCUAUUGUCGCUUACAUUGGGAUGUGAUAUUUUCUAUAAAACUGACGUCAAAAUGAAGCGCAUUCUCUCAUCACACAAAAAACUAAUUGUAUAUCCCACUAGUUAUAGCAAUUUUUUGUAUCUCCCAGUUUAUUAAACUUUAUUAUGCACCUCACUAAGUUAUGACAAGUUGAUGUUUCCAGUUUAAAUCCUUAAAAAUCCCUUUUACACGUUCAUUAGUAUAUUAUUAUUAUACAUAUCUCAUGUAUAAUAAUAAUGAAGCAAGAUUGUCCUUGAAUCGUUUAUGGCCACUUGGUUAGUCAACUAGUGUACGUGUAAAUCGGGAUUAACUUGAUACACACGAGUCACACCAGUGUUGCCAUACAGUUAUACACAAAGCAUAGAGCAACGCGGUCUAGAAUGGAGUAGGCAUAGACGCGAUGGACGUGAUGGAUUUACUUGCUCUAAAAAACUCAAUUUGAAGUUAGUUGAUUUAACCAUAGACUAUCAGUGUUUAUAUCUAUUACCAUUGAAUUGAUUUUGUUUCUCAGAGUUUAUAAACUAGACUCCGCGCCACGAAAGAAGUCUCGCGAUUAAAACCUGAACUAAAAUUGACAGCUCCUUACACAAAUGGCAAUAAGACCUAUCGGUGUUCUAGUGAGUGAAUAGUCAUCUUCUAGGCAAGCGCGUUUCAUAUGCUGCAUCAUCGCUUACCAUCAGGCGUGAUUGCAGCUAAGCGCUUGUUUAUACAAAAUAAAAAAAAACCGCCAUUACUUAAUGACAAUGAGAGCCAUUAAGACAUAAGCGCCGCGUCUACGGGACUUGUUUUAUGGCGCGGAGUAUACCGGCCCACGGUCUUGUCUCAGUCUGUGGCCGCGUUUCUCGCCGUCUCGCUCCAGCGUAUCUCACUUGUAUCUCGUGUUAGAGUUAAGGGUUUCGUGUUAUCUAAUGUUAGGCAGCUAAGGCGUUCGCUUGUCGCUCUAAUGUAGUUAUUGUAUGUACCUCUCUUUAACUAAGUAUUUAUUAUUUGUAUUUUACCAUUUUUCUUAGUACAUUAUUUGUACACUGUUGGUCAAACUUAACUGGUUAUUGUAAUUGGAGUUUUUAUACAAUAUACUGAAUAUAAAGUUACUUAUAUUCAGUCUAAAGCUACAUCACUUGCAAAUGAAAGCGUAAUUUAUGUCCUUAGCCAUGAAAAUAUAUUUUAAUAAAAGAAAUGCAUGAUACGUUUAUAAAAUGUUCUAUAAAAUAUUGGAUACAGUUGAGUUUGUUCAACAGUUUUAAUAAUUCACACGACAGCUUAUUUAUUAAUAAUCUAUUUAUUAUCAUUAUUUAUUUAUACGCCUGAAAGGUGUCGGGUCCUAAAUAAUACAUUCCACGCGGUCAAACCAUGUUGAUUUUUGAUGAAAAUCUCCCGUUCUUUUAAUUUUGCAAAAAUUAUAAUAUGUUAACGUGCAGAUGAGAUCUGAAUAACGUUUCUAAAUACCAGAAUCACUUUACGACAGCGUUUCAAACUUAUUUACUUUUUUUUUUUAAUUUGAGGACAGUUCUAGUGACUUUCAGUCAUUGUGACAAAAAAUAUUAGUGAAGAUAUAGUUUAACUGUUAAUGAAUUAACAGAAAAAUAUUUCGAUAACUGUUAUAUUUUGUAACAGUGACAAAAACACUAGUAUAUCCUCAGCCUUGGUAUAUUUAUACUGAUCCCGAGUUGCUACUUUUAAUAUUGAAUUGCUAACAUAAUGUAUAUUGUUCUCAUUUGAGCUUACUGUGUGUAACCAUCGGUACCUUGUAUUCUAACAUUGCAUUAUUAUAUUUGGAUAGCACUGUUAUAUUAUAUCCCCUUUAAGUUGUUUGUUAAGGAGUCUUUAUCAUGUAUAUUGUCUAGUAAGAAUUUAAUAUAUAUUAUGUAAUAUUUAAUUGUACUUUUUCCAUUAUACUACUUUCUGUUCGACAAUAUACUGCCAAAACAAUAUUUGGAUAUAGUUAUCGGUAUAUCGAUUACUAUUGUAAUAAUAUCGUUAUUAAUAUUACAUGGGUACACCUAAGUGCAUAAAAAGUGAUCAAACAGAAAAGAGUAUAAUCGAGCCGAGUAUAGAUAUAGUAGGAGAGCCUUGUUCGAAUCGCGUCUGUUUUUGUGUCGCUUUUUUAUACCGCGCUGUUGAUAAUUGAAAAUUCUCUCUCUUGGACUAUUUGUUAACAUUCAAAAUGGCGAAGUAACGUUGAAAAUUAAUUGUUAAAUUCACUAAAAUUACGGUGAUACAUGAUCACUGCCUUUUCCCCUAAGAAUAAAUUAGAGAUUUUUCUAUAUUAUUGUGUUCAUUUUGUAGUUAUAUCUUUUAAAUGCGUAACGCACUUGCGAUCAUUUCUACGUCUACAACUUCUUAAUACUGCUGAUUAGACUGAAUUUAAACUAAAACUUAGAACAAAAAUCUCUCUCUUACUUAGAAUGGAAUAUUUAAUCUCAUUGUAACUGCUUUGUUGAGAGUAUGUAUCUAAUCAAAUUGAAUUCUAAUCCAUUGAAAUUGUAAUUGCUCAAUUCCUUACAUAUUUGCAAGCGCGUUGCGUAUUUAACUUCCCUGUUUAUGAUAAUUGACAGUUUGUCAACUUGCCUUAUAUAUUAUCUGUAAAGGACCUCUAUAUUAUGAUAUUUAUUUGAGUUUAGGAGAUAUUUUCGUUUAUUUAACAAAGACUUACUGUUCGUAAACAAAUGCACACUAAAAUAAUAUAUGCAUUUAUCUACAGAAUAGAACGUCACAAGGUGUACCGCAUUAUUUCUUAAAUUCCGAAUUAAUAUUUUUUUUUUAUUAAUAUUUAUGAACAUGACAAACCGCUGUUUAAUCCUUGAAGUCAAAUAAAAGUAUAGAAAAAUAAAAGAUUUAUAUUUUCAUUUGUCCUCACGUGUACUUUCAAUAGAGUUAAAGUAAAUUGUUCUAAAAUGUAACAAAAUAAGUAACAUUAGAAAUGUGUAUUCUCAAUUAAUAAAAUAAUUCUUAGUAAGUAAUUAAGUCUGUAUAGAGAAUUGUGAUAAAGACACUUUGUUGUAUUGAAAUUUUGGGUUUUAGAAAUGAAAUUAAUUGAACAAAAUUCUUUUAAUGUUUAUAUUUCUUCCAAAAAUAAAUUGCAUAAUAAUUCAGAGAUCAUAUUUAAGUAGAUCAAAUUUAGAUUAGUAUAAGUGAUGUCACAUAAAAAGAACGCUGAAGUCUACCUGCCCAGAUGAAAGUUAAUUUCAUUCGAGAUAAUUUUUUGGUACGCAAAAUCACCUACGUGAAGAAGACAUAAGUGAGAAGAUAAUAAAUUUGCCCACCGAUAAUAUUUUGUGUUUUCUUAAAGAUAACGUUUAUUUUGAAAAAAUAAUUAAUAAUUAUAUUCAGAAAGAAACAUUGCUGGUAUUAUUUCGAAUUUAGUGUUAUAAGUUUGCGCAGCGCAAUGUCCUCAGCACUCUUUUUAAUUGACUUGACUUAUACCAAUAUGUUGGCAUCCUUACAAUUAUGUAGAUAAAUAGUCAUGAUUCUUUUUCAUUCGUUUUAGUAAUUAAUUUAUUUACCUUAAACAUUUCAACAAUGUGUCUUUAAUAUGAAAAAUAGCCCACUUUUGAAGUAUUUUCUAAAACUGUUUAUCUUCGAUUGCAUUGAAAGCGGAAACAUGACAAAAUGGUAAGUGGUAUCCGCUACUUACGGCGUCGGCGGAACGAUUGAGUUACGAAUUAAUUAAUUUACUCUCUUUAUUUCGCAUUAAGUGACGAUAAUUUAUUGUAACUACGGUGAAUAUUUUUUUAUGUUGCAUAGAAAAUAAAGUUUAAGAAAUUA